GAACUUCUUCUUCUUCUGUGUUACUUGUAAAUAACAUAAUGAAGGCAGUGUAUGUACUGAUUCGAUGAAAGCAUUAGAUACCACGAAUAAUAUAGAACAACUAUUUUGAGGAAAGGAAAAGUAGCCUGAGGAAAAGAAAGAAAGAAAUCUGAAACAGCCUGCUACAGGAGAAAGCAUCCUUUUUCAUCACCAUGGAACUGAUGGAAUUCAUCUUAACUGUGCAAAUUCCCAACAAUGUGCCAACAUGUCUUGCUAAAAUAAUAACAUAUAACUAAUGGAGAAAAUAAACUAGAAGGGAUACUACUUCUGGCAAUUCCUCUGCUAGCAACAGUGUUGUCGGUUCUUAUGUGUUUGUCUGACAUUCUGCCAGUAUGUUUCAGCUAUCAGAAAACUACUGCAGUCCAUGUUUAACAACAAUCUUAGUGACCGAAUCAUCUUCAUUUCCAGAAGAAAUUAUAUGAAAUCCUGCCACAAUAUAGUCGUGUCUUCAAGAGAAAGAAAGAACAUAGCAAGAAACUGAUUAAAUUUGCCAGUAUCUUCCCUACAGAAUUUUAAAUUAGAAUCUACCUGAAACACUGUGUAUAUAAAAUUUCUUUCUGUACCUAGUAGUUUUCACCAUGUCCAUCUGAAACAUCAGUAUGCCUCAAGCCACUGUAUUAAUAUAAAUAACUUAUGUUUGUAUGGUACCUUUCAGCUGUGAAAUCAGAACUGCAGUCUCUGGUGGAUGAAUGAGUUAUGAAACUGCCAGUUUACUGUAUAUAAUUAUAAAUGAAAGCAUGCAUUAUGUCUCUGUAAAAAUAAUAAAUACAUAGAAGAUUCUUAAUUAAUCUUUAUGAAUCACCAUGAAUAUCACUCAUGGUGGGAUAAAGGAUUUUGAGUUAUGGUUUAUUUUUUCUAUUUCCAUAAGGAACUAGUUAAUUUCCAGUUUGUUAAGAAAAUGAUGAUCAAUAUUUUUAUUAAAAACUAGACAAAACUACUUUGCAAUGUCCUCCAUAGAUUUAUUUAUUGUUUAAUUUAGUCAUAGAAAAGUCUCAACAUACAAGGAACUUUUCUGUAGUUUCUUAACUAAAUGACAAAUAUUCUAGUCACUGCCUUUUUCUGCUGCACAAAUUGUAAUUACAGAAAUUGGCAUAAAUAAAUAGUUUCUCUCUGUCCAUUUAGUUGCUUAGUAGGUACAAUAUUAAAUUAUUUUUUGAAUAAAGAAAUUGUGUAUACAUGUUUUAAGUUGAAAGACAAAAGAGAAACCUCACCUCUCUUCUCUACUACUUUGGUGGUUUUUGCCUAAUCAUUCUCAUUAUAUAGAAGGGGAUCUUUUAGCUGUUUUUCCUUUUAUAAAUCAUAAAACCAAGAGAGUAUUGCAAUUUCAGUGAAUCUGACUUUAACUAAAAUGGGACCGACAUUUAAU